rnacentral:pre_miRNA from 1 species
AGAGGAAUAGCUGGGUCAAAUGGUGGGGUUCCAUUCCCAGACUUCCAAGGAAUCUCCAUACUGCUUUCCAAAUUGCCUGCUCCAAUUUGCAGUCCCACCAGCAAU